rnacentral:rRNA from 1 species
GACGAACCUUGCAAACGUUAUUCGGAAUCACUGGGCUUAAAGGGUGCGUAGGCUGUGCAGCAAGUUGGUUGUGAAAUCCCUCGGCUUAACCGAGGAAUUGCGCCCAAAACUACUGUGCUCGAGGAAGAUAGAGGUGAGCGGAACUUAGGGUGGAGCGGUGAAAUGCGUUGAUAUCCUAAGGAACACCGGUGGCGAAAGCGGCUCACUGGAUCUUAUCUGACGCUGAGGCACGAAAGCCAGGGUAGCGAACGGG